UGAGGAAUAUUGGUCAAUGGACGAGAGUCUGAACCAGCCAAGUAGCGUGCAGGAUGACGGCCCUAUGGGUUGUAAACUGCUUUUGUUUGGGAAUAAUCGACAUUACGUGUAAUGUUUUGCAUGUACCAUUCGAAUAAGGACCGGCUAAUUCCGUGCCAGCAGCCGCGGUAAUACGGAAGGUCCAGGCGUUAUCCGGAUUUAUUGGGUUUAAAGGGAGUGUAGGCGGUUGGUUAAGCGUGUUGUGAAAUGUAGAUGCUCAACAUCUGACUUGCAGCGCGAACUGGCUGACUUGAGUACACACAACGUAGGCGGAAUUCAUGGUGUAGCGGUGAAAUGCUUAGAUAUCAUGAAGAACUCCGAUUGUGAAGGCAGCUUACGGGAGUGUUACUGACGCUUAAGCUCGAAGGUGCGGGUAUCGAACAGG
rnacentral:rRNA from 1 species